rnacentral:tRNA from 1 species
GAGUGAGUAGUUUAGGUGGAGAAUUCUGUUUUUGUAAUACAGGGGUGUAUUUUGUGCUUCGCUCU